rnacentral:rRNA from 1 species
AUGAGCGGCUUCGCGCAGCAGGCCGAGAGGGAGAAGCCGGGCAUGGCGGAGACGGUCAUGAGCGGGUUCAGGCCGGACGCCGUGCCCGUGUACCGCGAGCUCGCGCAGGAGUUCGCCGUGUGCGACCGCUGGUUCGCGUCCAACCCCGCGUCUACCCAGCCCAACCGCCUCUUCGUGCACUCGGCCACCUCACACGGCCUCGUCAGUAACAACACCAAGGCGCUCCUAGCAUUUUAUGGUGGUGCAAAUCAUGCAUGUGUUAAUUGUAUGUUAUGUCGGGGUCGCGUGCAUUGCAGCCACGCUGCCUGA